CUAAUUCUAUAUAAAAUGCAGGUCAUUAAGAAUGGUUGGUGACACUGUUAUUACUGGUAGUGAUGACUGGACAGCAAGAAUAUGGUCUGUUUCACGAGGAACAUGUGAUGCUGUCCUAGCAUGCCAUGCAGGGCCAGUAUUAUGUGUUGAAUAUUCUUCGUUAGAUAGAGGAAUAAUAACGGGGUCAACCGAUGGCCUGAUGCGGUUUUGGGAAAAUGAUGAUGGAGGUAUACGGUGUGCAAAAAAUGUAACAAUUCACAACGCUGCCAUAUUAUCUAUCAAUGCUGGGGAGCACUGGUUAGGUAUUGGAGCGGCUGAUAAUUCUCUUUCUCUCUUUCAUCGGCCCCAAGAGAGACUUGGUAGUUUUUCUGGCCCCGGGUCAAAGAUGGCUGGUUGGCAGCUGUACAGAACACCACAAAAAACAGUUGCUAUGGUAAGGUGCAUUGCUUCAGACCUAGAGAGGAAAAGGAUAUGCAGUGGUGGUCGUAAUGGGCUUCUAAGACUAUGGGAUGCAACCAUCAAUAUUUGAGUGUUCAUGUUUGUAAUUGUAGCAUUGUUGUUUUAGUGAAAAGCAAGGCACGCAUUGAAGGGUGUUAUCUUCACUGUUUUUGUUUAUUUACCGGUCAAGUACAGAAUACUCAAGAUAUCUCAGACAAAUCUAAAGCUUGGAACCCAAGUUUGGCUGUGAUAAUCUCUGCAGCAUAUACGUCUUUAUACUGUGGUUAGAGGUUCCUGUAUCCUGAAUGUACAUAACUGUGAUGAAGAACAAUUUUUGUUAGUGUGGAUAAGUUUAGUUAAUUGUGCAGAACUAAUCCCAAUUGAUUUUGCAAUAAA